GGGAAGGGCAAAAUUUGGCUCCUCCUUCUCUUGCUAAUUGAAUUAACAUUACUUUUGCACUUUGAACUCAGCUUGCAGCAAUUGAGGAUUGUUUACUCCCCCUGUUGUCGACCGCGUUUUUAGGGGAUCGGGCCCCUUAAGGAGAGAGCCGAUCCGGUCCUGAGAGAACGGACCUUGGCGGAGCCAAUAGGAGAAUAUGAGCCGCAAUACAACCUGAAGCCGAAAUGAAGAAGGUCUGCCAAAGUUGAAGGAAAAUCCGCCAAGGAGUCUUUAUUGAGCGAUUCAGCUGAAAAGGACUCUAGUAGUGAUCAUUCAGUCUACUAGGGUACCAUAUAAUCAAAAUACAGCCAUAUUUAUACAAAAUUUCAGUCUGACAGCCCUUUGAAUUUCCCGCCCCGCUCCCCCGCCCAUCUGAUCGCGGAUAGGCUAGAAGGUUGAACGAGGCAGGCUU
rnacentral:lncRNA from 11 species